rnacentral:rRNA from 1 species
AACUAACGCUGGCGGCGUGCCUAACACAUGCAAGUCGUACGAGAAAGCCGGCUUCGGCUGGUGAGUAAAGUGGCGCACGGGUGAGUAACGCGUGGAUAAUCUGCCCUUAAGUGUGGAAUAACGUACCGAAAGGUGCGCUAAUACCGCAUAAUGCCUGGCAACACAAGUUGUCCGGCCAAAGAAGGCCUCUGUUUACAAGCUUUCGCUUCAGGAUGAGUCCGCGUACCAUUAGCUUGUUGGUGGGGUAAUGGCCUACCAAGGCUGCGAUGGUUAGCUGGUCUGAGAGGAUGAUCAGCCACACUGGAACUGAGACACGGUCCAGACUCCUACGGGAGGCAGCAGUGAGGAAUAUUGCGCAAUGGGGGCAACCCUGACGCAGCAACGCCGCGUGAGUGAGGAAGGUUUUCGGACCGUAAAGCUCUGUCGAGUGGGAAGAAGUGUAUCAUGGCUAAUAUCCGUGAUAUUUGACGGUACCGCUAGAGG